AAUGUGUCGGGCCGGGUCGGGCUCGGGCACAAUGUGCACGGGCUCGGGUAGGGUCGGGCUUGAUUUUUUGGGCCCGAUCUAAGCUCUACACUAGAUCAAAGAACAUGUAAUAUUGCAG